ensembl:lncRNA
ACCCAGCUGGAGAGACAGAUGUUUCUGGGACCUGGGUGCUGGGAUUCGAAUUCUGGCCCUCGCUAUUGAGCAGCAAUCGCUCUGAACCUCUCAGCCAUCCCUCUAGCCCUGGGUUUAGAGUUUUGAAAGCGUUAAAGUUUCUUGUUGCUGUUAUUGUUACUUAUUUUAACCACUUCCAAAGCUGAUGUAGCAAAACGAGUUCAGGACCCAGGGACAUGGUUUCUGCUCUGAGAUUUACCACCUGGGAGUGGGUAAGCAGCUGUCUGGGGACUGAAGGUGGGAAAGAAGUGGUUGGGUUUUUUUUUUUUCUUUUGUUGUUAUUUGUUUUCCUUAUGGAAUAACAUUUAUGCAACAAGUUUUCCUGUGUUCAUUUUUUUUUCACUGAUCAAUUGCUGAUUGUAUUUUCAAUAAAAUGGUAAUGCAUUAUGUUGGUAGGGAUUAGCUCAGUUUAUUCUUCCAUUAAAAAACCAACCCCCACCCCAAAUCAGAACUAAGUUAUCUUUAGUGCUCAUGGCUGACCUAGAAUCCUUUCCAAAUACGCAGUCUAUUGUUUGCGUAGACCCAGGGCGGUGUUUCCCACUUUGAAAGCUGAGCUCCACCAGUGCACCUGUAGAAGGCCCAAAGAUCAAGUGCCUGAGACUCUGACACGGUUUACCUUUCUGUGAUGCUCCUGGUGACCCGAAUGACCCUGCAAUGUGCACAAGGACCCCAAGUUGUGGUAGGUAGGACUGGAGUUCCCCGCGCUUAUAGAAUUCUUACUAAUGCCAUGGGACAUGUAGGACACUGUCCUCAUUUUAAGUCUCUCCCUGGAACUUAGGUUUGCAGUCUGUGACUUUGAAGACUAACUGAAGUCCUGAAGAAGUGGUUGCUGGAGCCAGUACUUCAGAGUACAGUUAUGGGAGGUAGUGAAUGAGGCUUAAGGGACAAGGACUCAGCUGUUUUACAGCCAGUAGACAGUGUGACCUUGGCCACUCUGGCUUUCGCAGGAGCAGAGACCUUCCCCAGGCCUAGAGUUUCCAAAAGUCAUCUUGCUAGACCAUGAAAACUACAAAGAAUCAUGGCUCCAAAAUAUCCACUUUGAGGGCACAGAAGGAGUCUUUGAAACAGUGAAACAAGUCAUGAACGUGAUUUCGUACCUAGUCCUGUUACAGUGCUUUAGAAUCCGUUCUGUGCAAGGUUAAUUCCAGCAGUGCUUCCUAGACCUUAAAAUCACAGCUUUACCUAUCUUAAGACAAUCUACUGACUGUUGAAUAAUAGACAUAUGCACAAGCCAUCCCCUGCUCUUAAAAAAAAUGGAUUUAGCUUGUAAAUUAGGACGUUUGUCUCAGCGCUAAACAGAGAACCGGUCUUCAGUUUGUAUAGUUUACCCUUUAAUAGUUGUUUGGAAUGGAAGUAGUCUUUCAUAUUUCCUCCAAUCCUACCCCUUUUGAGAGAUCGCUUUUGGUUUAUUAACCAAGCCCAGUAGCUAGUUUUUAAUUUUUAAUUAUAUUUGAAAUUUUUUUUCUUUGCAAUAAUGUGACGGAAGAGAACAUUCAAAUGUUUGGCAGGCCUCUGCGUCAGCAGGACUGAUAUGCGUCUGCGACUCCUGUCAAAGUGGUUUUGCCUCAAUAGUAAACUUCAUGAGAUCAGAUCAUGCCAGCCGUAAGCAGGCUUUGCCAACUGACCUGCACCAGAUUAAAUUGACAACUCAGGUUUUAAUUUGGGUGAUGGUUUCUUCAUGAUGGUGGUUGGGAAAGUAAGGUACCAAGUCCUCUUUCUGUGGUUCUUACUUAGCCUUUCACUGAUACAGAAGAGAAAGAAAUAGCAAUAAAUACCAGGAUUCAGACAAUGGUGUGGUGUGGCUGGGUCGGAGAUGUGUUGUUCAUGGAAAGGAUUUUAGGUGAUGGAAUUUUUUUUUUUUUAAAAAUAAAAGGCAUAGGCUUCCAAAUGAGAAACAGUCUGCACAGUGACAGAUUGCCUGUGGAUGUACAAGUGGCCAGUGUGGGAAGCAGUGAAGCAACGUUUCUCUUAAUUUCUCACCAGAGACACAAGUCCUGAAUGCACAGCCUGGUUCACCUCUGUCUCAGUGCUCCCGCCCCGGUACUGACCCAUGGACACUGGGUUGGCAAUUCGCAGAGGACCUUACAGGUUCUGGCCCAGUGUGUUUCUUUACUUCUUUGAAACUUUGUUCUAAUAUCAAAAGUUAUGGCACCUAUAAACAAUGUACAAAGUGAUUAUAUUUUAUAUGAGAAGUUUUAAAAAAAUCUCUGGAGAUACCCCGGGUCAUCUAUAUUUAGUCAUCUGUCCAAACCGUUGUAUUUAAUUUACUAGAACUUUCUGUGCUCGUCUCUCUGAAUUUACUUAUAGUAAAUGCAGAUGUAUAUAUACAGACACUGUUGCAUGUGUGUAUAUGGCUCUGCUGAUGUACACUGUCCAUUACAAAGCACAUCAGGCCUAGGCACUAGAAAGUGUGUGAUUCAGUAUUGUUCAGGGAAUGGAGACUAGACGUUGCUUAGAUAGUACCUCAAAGGCUGUCACUGAUUAGAGGAUGUGUCUGUAAGUGGUGUGGCAAGUGGAAAGACUUGGAUGCAUGGUUUAGGUCAAGUUAUUUACUUAUUUUAUGUAAAGUGGGCAUAAGUAAGAGUCAUGGCUACAUGUUACUUGUUUCCCUUCCUUCCUACUUGAGACAGGACCUCAUGUAGCUAGAUGUCACUUUUUUUUUUUUUUUAGAUGUCACUUUUACAGUAGCUCAUUUUAAUUCUGUUUCUGGGAACAUCCAAUCUAAAAUGCAUUGACAACUCCCAAAUGCUUUCACCACUCUAAGGAAAACAAGAAGAUCAAGGAAAAGGAACCCAAAUUAUUCAACAUGAAAUGCAUUGCUAGAGAGUGUGGGGACCUUUCUGACAGGCAAGCUUUGCUAAUAACUGGUAAUCACCAUCUCGCCUUGUGUAUCCAAAUGUAUGGAAGAUGUCCAGGUCUCCCCUGAUAUCUGAGGUAGUAAAGACCUACACUGGCAUGAUUUCAGCCUACCUCUCAGCUGCUUGGGGCUGAUGGAGGACAUGUGUCUGUAUCAUCUGGUUUGCAAACACAGUGAAUAGCAACUCCCUAUCGAGGGCUCCAGUUGGGAGGCGUCAUACAGUGUUUUUUCUGGAGCUACGAGUUACUUUAGCACAGUUACUGUUAGUAGUUUACAAGCCAUACUUCCACUUGUACACUUGACUGUAAGAUAGAUUUAAAUUGUGCACUAUGUUGAUUACUCUAUAUAAAUGUGGAAAUUCUGUAUAUUUGGUCUUAUGCUAUAUGUAUUUGAUGUGUAAAUGAUAACUAAUGGAUAUG